AUACGUAGGUGGCAAGCGUUGUCCGGAAUUAUUGGGCGUAAAGCGCGCGCAGGUGGUUCCUUAAGUCUGAUGUGAAAGCCCCCGGCUCAACCGGGGAGGGUCAUUGGAAACUGGGGAACUUGAGUGCAGAAGAGGAUAGUGGAAUUCCAAGUGUAGCGGUGAAAUGCGUAGAGAUUUGGAGGAACACCAGUGGCGAAGGCGAAUUUCUGGUGUGAAACUGACACUGAGGCGCAAAAGCGGGGUGAGCAAACAGGAUUAGAUACCCUGGUAGUCCACGCCGUAAACGAUGAGUGCUAAGUGUUGGGGGGUGUCCGCCCCUCAGUGCUGCAGCUAACGCAUUAAGCGCUCCGCCUGGGGAGUACGGUCGCAAGACUGAAACUCAAAUAAAUUGACGGGG
rnacentral:rRNA from 1 species